rnacentral:rRNA from 1 species
GAUGAACGCUGGCGGCGUGCCUAAUACAUGCAAGUCGAGCGAACAGACGAGGAGCUUGCUCCUUUGACGUUAGCGGCGGACGGGUGAGUAACACGUAGGUAACCUACCUAUAAGACUGGGAUAACUUCGGGAAACCGGAGCUAAUACCGGAUAAUAUUUCGAACCGCAUGGUUCGAUAGUGAAAGAUGGCUUUGCUAUCACUUAUAGAUGGACCUGCGCCGUAUUAGCUAGUUGGUAAGGUAACGGCUUACCAAGGCAACGAUACGUAGCCGACCUGAGAGGGUGAUCGGCCACACUGGAACUGAGACACGGUCCAGACUCCUACGGGAGGCAGCAGUAGGGAAUCUUCCGCAAUGGGCGAUAGCCUGACGGAGCAACGCCGCGUGAGUGAUGAAGGUCUUCGGAUCGUAAAACUCUGUUAUUAGGGAAGAACAAACGUGUAAGUAACUGUGCACGUCUUGACGGUACCUAAUCAGAAAGCCACGGCUAACUACGUG